rnacentral:rRNA from 1 species
GAGGAAUCUGGUCGCCCUUUGCCCAAGUUUGGCGAAUGGGACGUCAACGACCCAGCUUCUGCUGAUGGGUUCACUGUUAUAUUCAACAAAGCCAGGGAUGAGAAAAAGGCUGGGAAUGGACAAGAUACCGAAUCCCCUUGCAAAGAUGCCAGGACUGAGAGGGUGGAAUCUUAUGCCACCAAGGCAAAUUCAAAGAAGUGGUUUUGCUGCGUGACACCAAGUCCUACACAAUCUUGA